rnacentral:rRNA from 1 species
CCCUUAGACGCUCUAGGCGGCACGCGCGCUACAAUGGGUGGUAGAACGUGUAACUGCCCCCGAAAGGGAGGGUGAACCACGAAUACUUACCCGUGAAUGGGAUAGUUUGUUGCAAUUUUCGGACUUGAACUAGGAAUCCCUUGUAAGAAUGCUCAAGAAUAGCGUGCUGAAUACGUCCCUGCCGUUUGUACACACCGCCCGUCGUUUCUUCCGACUGAUACUCAUUGUGAGUUGCAAGGAUUCUUAUUGAAAAAUUGCUGCGAAUGCUUUGUAUUGGAGGAAGAAAAAGUCGUAACA